rnacentral:rRNA from 1 species
CCUACGGGGGGCUGCAGUGGGGAAUAUUGCACAAUGGGCGCAAGCCUGAUGCAGCCAUGCCGCGUGUGUGAAGAAGGCCUUCGGGUUGUAAAGCACUUUCAGCGGGGAGGAAGGCGGUGAGGUUAAUAACCUCAUCGAUUGACGUUACCCGCAGAAGAAGCACCGGCUAACUCCGUGCCAGCAGCCGCGGUAAUACGGAGGGUGCAAGCGUUAAUCGGAAUUACUGGGCGUAAAGCGCACGCAGGCGGUCUGUCAAGUCGGAUGUGAAAUCCCGGGCUCAACCUGGGAACUGCAUUCGAAACUGGCAGGCUAGAGUCUUGUAGAGGGGGGUAGAAUUCCAGGUGUAGCGGUGAAAUGCGUAGAGAUCUGGAGGAAUACCGGUGGCGAAGGCGGCCCCCUGGACAAAGACUGACGCUCAGGUGCGAAAGCGUGGGGAGCAAACAGGAUUAGAUACCCGGGUAGUC